UACGGAGGGUGCAAACGUUGCUCGGAAUCAUUGGGCGUAAAGCGCACGUAGGCGGCCUGUUAAGUCGGGUGUGAAAGCCCUGGGCUCAACCCAGGAAGUGCACUCGAAACUGGCGGGCUUGAAUAUGGAAGAGGGUCGCGGAAUUCCCGGUGUAGAGGUGAAGUUCGUAGAUAUCGGGAGGAACACCAGUGGCGAAGGCGACUACCUGGCCUGUUCUUGACGCUGAGGCGCGAAAGCUAGGGGAGCAAACGGG
rnacentral:rRNA from 1 species